rnacentral:tRNA from 1 species
GCCUGGGUAGCUCAGUUGGUAGAGCGGGUCGUUGAAAGCGAUCGCGUCGAAGGUUCAAUUCCUCUCUCCAGGCA